rnacentral:rRNA from 1 species
AUACGUAGGGGGCGAGCGUUGUCCGGAAUUAUUGGGCGUAAAGGGCGCGUAGGCGGCUUUGCAAGUCAGUAGUGGAAGUCCAUUUUUCAAGGAUGGAAGUGCUACAGAAACUGCGGAGCUUGAGUGCAGGAGAGGUUAUCGGAAUUCCCGGUGUAGCGGUGAAAUGCGUAGAGAUCGGGAGGAACACCAGUGGCGAAGGCGGGUAACUGGACUGCAACUGACGCUGAGGCGCGAAAGUGUGGGGAGCAAACAGGAUUAGAUACCCUGGUAGUCCACACUGUAAACGAUGAAUGCUAGGUGUAGGAGGUAUCGACCCCUUCUGUGCCGCAGUAAACACAGUAAGCAUUCCGCCUGGGGAGUACGGUCGCAAGAUUAAAACUCAAAGGAAUUGACGGGG